CCUACGGGCGGCAGCAGUGAGGAAUAUUGGUCAAUGGCCGUAAGGCUGAACCAGCCAAGUAGCGUGAGGGAAGACUGCCCUAUGGGUUGUAAACCUCUUUUAUGCGGGGAUAAAGGUGUCCACGUGUGGAUGUUUGCAGGUACUGCAUGAAUAAGGAUCGGCUAAUUCCGUGCCAGCAGCCGCGGUAAUACGGAAGGUCCGGGCGUUAUCCGGAUUUAUUGGGGUUAAAGGGAGCGUAGGUGGGUUUUUAAGCGUGCUGUGAAAGUUUGCGGCUCAACCAUGAAAGUGCGGUGGGAACUGGCGGCCUUGAGUACACGGAAGGUAGGCGGAAUUCGUGGUGUAGCGGUGAAAUGCUUAGAUAUCACGAAGAACCCCGAUUGCGAAGGCAGCCUACUAAAGCGUUACUGACACUGAUGCUCGAAAGCGCGGGUAUCGAACAGGAUUAGAUACCCUUGUAGUC
rnacentral:rRNA from 1 species